GCAGGAGAGAUAGAAAAGGGGCUUCCUUUGCAAAUUCACAGGGGCAAGUGGUCCUGUGCCCCUCCAGAUGGUGAGAUGGGCUGUAGCAGGAACCUUGGAGGCUGGAACAGCAGAGGCUCCAUUGAAAAAGCCUGAACUUCUGGCAUGCGGAGGGGAUGCAGAAGGGGGGCUGGCAUCCCCAAAGAUGAGGCCUCUCAGCCCUCCCUGCUCUGACCUUCCCCUUUGACACAGGUGUUAGGAGCCAACUGAGGUAUUUGCUUCCCUUUGAAGAGCCAACAGCACUUCCAGGCGUAAAAGUCCAAUUCCUCAGAGUGAGGGAACAGGUCACACUG